CAGUAGCUACCAUUGUCAAGAAGUAGAACAACACCCAAAAAUAUCAAAUAGUAUAUAUCCGAAAUCAUUACUUGGAAUAGUUGAGUCGUUAGACAGAUUCCCUAUUCAAAACCUUGAAAACACACACCUCUCUAAAACUUCUCUGUAUUCUGCUGAAUGUUACGUCUCGGAGUCUGCAGUGAACAAUUUUGAAAGAUUAGGAUAACUUUCUUAGAUGUUUUUUUUAUUUCGAGAAUUUGUAGAACUACUUAAAACUUACUUGGAAUCAAGAGAUUAUAAGAACAUCACUUGAUUGCCUAAAUUCCCUCGGAUGGCUUUCUUAUCCAAGUAGAGCAGUUGUUGCCAAAGAGUCUUGACGAAAUGAUCAACUUUUUGUAGCCAAAGAGACUUAUAAAAACACAAUCAGUUCGUAGGUACCAGCUCUGGAGCUCCCUUUUCUUACUCGGUUCCAGUCUCCAUUACCAUUGUUAUAUUUCGAUUCUCUGUUCUUGAAGCUCUAGCAGCUAAAAACGUUGCUUCUUCUUUCUUAACGUUUUUUAAAAUACAUAAAAUUACAACAUGAAAAACAGAGUUUAAAACCAUAC
rnacentral:lncRNA from 1 species